CUGGUGCUUUCUACACACUGUGAUCUCUCUCUCCCUCCCCCUCUCUCUCUCCUGGUUCUAAGAGACCUCCGCACUCACAAACAGAGCAACUAUGUGCUAUCGUGUGGUUUGCUUUUUCAGGAUAUUCACCUGCCUCCUCGCCUUCUCACAGAUGCCUGAUGUCACUUUAAUGAGUUCUGCCUUCAGUGACAAGCCUUUACGUGCAAAUACACUUGAUGUUACUCCCCAAAUGCCACAGCAUGGCCUGAAGACUUGCCUCACAGAAUUCAGCACCCAUUGAGGGCAUACAUGUAGAAGAGAAACAGAAUUCCCCAUGUGAUGGGCUGAAAAAUGCCCCCCCCACCAAGAUAUCCACAUCUUAAUCUCUGGAACUUGUAAAUGUUAUCUUAUUUGGGAAAAAUAACUCUUUGCAGACGUUAUUAAGGAUCUUGAGAUGAGGAAAUUAUCCUGGUUUAUCCAGGUGGGCCCUAAAUGCCAUCAGAAAUGUCCUUAUAGGUGAGAGGCAGAGGAAGAGUCGAUAUACCCAGAGGACAAGGCAAUGUGAAGAAGAAGCAGAGAAGGAGUUGAAGAUGCUGGCCUUGAAAAUUGGAGUAAUGCAGCCCCAAGGCAAGGAGUGCAGGCCUCCACCGAAAGUUGGAAGGGACAAGGGACAGAUUCUCCCCAAGAGCCUCUGGGGGGAGUGCAGCCCUGUCAACACCCUGAUGUUGAUCCAGUGAAACUAACUGCCAAAUUCUGGCCUCCAGAACUGUGAGAGAAUCCAUUUCUGUUGUUUUCAGCCACCAAGUUUGUGGUAAUUUGUUAUAGGAGCCACAGGAAAGGAACAGACCAAACCACUAAAAAGUCAAGCUGUUCCCUGAUGACAAGUAACCAAUGGGAGGCAUUUGGCAGAGCACAUUGGAAGAAAGAAAAACCACAUGACCAUUUUGGUUGUUAAAGACCCUGACGUCCCAAGUAUAAAUGAGCAAUUUUAGACAGAGGUUGAAAAAGGGUUGUGCAUCUGGUAAGAAAAGCACUGGUAAAUAGAUGCCUCCAUCUCAGCACAGACUCCUAUGGAAUGAGAACAGCAUGAGACACUCAGAAGAGGAUCAGCCAAGCCUGGGCAAUGUGAGAAAAGGGAAAUCCAGAUUAUACCAGAACAGACACGAGCCCUUGAGGCAUACUUCGCAAAGCUUUAUUCUACUUUCAUCAUAAGAAAGAAUUUGAAGGGGACUUCUGCCAUGUGAGGACACAGUAAGAAGAUGGCCAUGUAUGAACCAGGAAGCAGGCUCUCAUGAGACACAGAAUCUACCAGGACCUUAAUCUUGGACUUCCCACACUCGAGAACCGUGAGAAAUAAAUGUGUGCUGCUUAGAAGCCAC
rnacentral:lncRNA from 1 species